UUGGAAUUCGAAUCUGGAAGCGUUUACACGAAGCUUGAGAUGCAUAGAGACUAAAUAUACCAAAAUCGCAGUCUAAAUCUUUCCAAAAAAUGCCAAAUCGCAUUAGAAAAUAAUCUACUCCAGUAAGAUGAAACUAUGGCUGCCGGCAAGGAUAACUGGCAGAGGGGGGCUAGUCUUAAGGUUUUGAGGGGUGGAGAAUCGAAAUCCAGCGUUAGUUUGGCCAGAAAACACCAGUAAGAGGCUGAAACAAUAGAGGCAGCAUGUGAUGUCCUCCUUCUCCUUUGCUCCAAUGAUUUCCCGGCAAGAAAAUAAAGGGGAAAGGGUCGUGAGAAGAGAGGGAGGGAGGGGCAAUUGGUUCGUGAUAUGGAUGGCAAAAAUGGAGGAAAAUAGUG
rnacentral:lncRNA from 1 species